rnacentral:lncRNA from 1 species
UAGUUCUUGCUGACUCGUUAUGUUAGUGAAAGAUUAGAAGAUCUUGAUAGGGUAGUGACUAGUUGAUUGACGAGGAACCCAAAAAAAUUGUAGAGCCCAAUUUUAGCCUGAGCCCAAAACCAAAUAAAUAAAACCCAAAGUAAAAAAUAAUAAACAGUCCACAGCCCAAAAAUUACAAGCCCAAAUGCCCAAUAAACAAAAAAAACCUAAUAGCCCAAAACAACAAACCCAAAUUACCAAACCCUAGCCCAAAUAACAAACCCAAAUGGCC